rnacentral:misc_RNA from 1 species
AGCUAGGCUCUUUCCUAUACAAAAAGGUUGUCACAGAAGUCACAAGCUGAUGAUUACUGCGAUCCUUGACUUAGGAAAAGGAGGGGACUGCAUAAAAAGGCUAAUACCUUUACAUAAGAUGCAUCGAUGAUUCUUAGUUCAAAGGCUGAUCAUGCUUUCAAGUGACAAAACAAGAUUCCAAAGAGGCCAAAGUAGAAAAGGAUAUCCGGUAGUCAAUUCCAUUGUUAGCGUGCAAAGAUGAUUUCAUCAACCACGACGAAUACUCAUGUAGUUGAAGUCAUGGUGCUGAACCCCCAACUGUUUUAGCCAAGAAUCAGCCACGCUAAAAAGUGACAUCAGCCUCUCUUGGUCCCUUCCGCUUCUAU